CCACCACGCCAGACUGAUUCAUUAGUAAUCUUUAAAUGCAAAGGAAAACCACAUGGAGACACCACUUUGCGCUCAUUAGGAUAGCUAUGAUAAAAAAGAUAGACAACAAGUGUUGGUGAAAAUGUAGAGAAAUUAGGACCCUCCUGCACUGAAAGUGGGAAUGUAAAAUGGUGCAGCCCUUUUGGAAAACAGUUUGGCAGUUCCUCAAAAAGUUAUGAUAACAGAGUUACCAUAGGAUCCAGCAAUUCUACUCCUAGGUAUAUGACCAAGGAAUUGAAAACAAGUGUUCAGACAAAAACGUACACAGGCUGUUCACAGCAGCACUGUUCCCAAUAGCCAAAAGGUAGAAACAAUCCAAAUGUGCAUCAGUUGAUAAAUGGAUAAGCAAAAUGUGGUGUAACCACACAAUGGAAUGUUAUUUGGCCAUAAAAAGAAAUGAAGUAGUGAUACAUGCUACAACUUGUUGCCACACACUAGAGGGAGAGAGGAUUGGGGAGUAACUACUAAUGGGUACAGGGUUUCUUUUUGGGAUGAUUAAAAUAUGCUAGAAUUAGUAGUGAUAAUGGUUGCACAGUUCUGUAAAUAUACUAAAACUGCUUAAUUGCAUGUUCUAAAACAGUGAAUUUGUGGUAUGAUUCUGUUUUCCCAGCUUUCUUGAGGUAUGAUUGACAAAAUUGUGUAAAUUUAUGGUGUGCAACAUGCUGAUUUGAUAUACAUAUACAUUGUGAAAUGAGUGCCACAAUCGUGUUAGUUAACACAUCUGUCACCUCACCCACUUACAUUUGUGUGUGUGUGUGUGCUAAAAACAUUUAAGAUCUUUACCAGACCCAAAAGUUUUUAAUUACAUGCAAAUUAAGAGGUUUGUUAUUCAGAAUGCUCUAGAAAAGAACAAAUGCCGAGUUGUUGCCAUGGAAAGGGGUGGUAACUUGCAGCUCGUUGCCAUGGCAUUUGUAAACUGUCACGGCACUGGUGGGAGUGUCUUAUGCUAAUGAGCAGCAAGGGUAAAUAGAGGUUGCCUUUGGCACCAUCUGCUGGCUUCUUUACUUCAUCCUGGGACCAGGAAGUAAGUCCGCUGGUCUCCUAAGUCGCCUCCGCAGGCAUAGUGGAGGGCAUAUGUGAUGGCUGCCAUGGUCCUGGGCACACUGUACUGCAUCUCCUGCUUGGUGCUGGCUCUGGGGGUGAAGGAACAGUUAGAAAUGGGAACUUCUCUUUUGCUCCCCACAAAACAACCAGAGCGUGGAACAUAUGAAGUAAAGAAUAAUAUUUAUUGAAUGAAGACAUGAAUUUAACCCUGCAGGCCUAGGUGGGAGCUUCCAGUGCCUCUUGUCAUCAUUCUGGUAUGUCCAGGAAGUGGGAGGUGGCACCAAUGUGUAGCCACCCUGCCUGAGCCCACCAGCCUUGGAGUCAGAACACCCUGGGGUAAAUCCUGGCUCAGCUCUUCUCAGCUAUGUGAUCUCGGGGCUAGACCUUCCAGUAUCGUGUAGAAUAACAGCGGUGAGGCAGAACAUCCUUGUUUCCGUCUUAGGAGGAAAGCGCCAUUAGGAAAGCAUCAUAAGAGGAAAGCAGUCUUUCACCAUUACGUAUAUUAGCUGUGGAUUUUUUUGUUUUGUAUAAUUGUUUUACAUGUUCUUUAUCAAGUUGAAAUAAUUUUGCACUAUUUAUGACUUGCUGGGAGACUUAAUGAGUUUUGGAUUUUGUCAAAUGCUUUCUUUUUGCAUCAAUUCAUAUGAUUAUAUGCUUUUCUUUCCUUGGCUUGUUGAUAUGGUGGAUUGAUUGAUUUUUGAAUGUUGAACUACCAUAGCUGUAAUAAAUCUAACUUGAUAAUGGUGAAUAAUUAUUUUUAUGCAUUGUUGGAUUUGGCUUGCUUAUAUUUUGUCAAGGAUUUUUGCAUCAGAAUUAAUAAGAGAUACUGGUCUGUAAUUUUCUUUCUUUUUAUUUCGUCUCAUAAUAUUGGCCUCAUGAAAUGAAUUGAGAAGUGUUUCCUCUGCUUCUAUUUUUUGGAGGAGAUUGUGUAAAAUUGGUGUUGUGUUUUUCAAAUGUUUGGUAGAAUUAUCCAGCUUGGAGCAUUUUAAUUAUGAAUUCAGUUAUUUUAAUGAAUUUUUUUUUUUUUUGAGACAGAGUCUCGCUUUGUCACCCAGGCUGGAGUGUAAUGGCACGAUCUUGGCUCCCAACCUCCACCUCCCAGGUUCAAGUGAUUCUCCUACCUCAGCCUCCUGAGUAGUGGGAUUACAGGCAUCUGCCACCAUGCCCAGCUAAUUUUUGAAUUUUUAGUAGAGACAGGGUUUCACCAGGUUGGCCAGGCUGGUCUCAAACUCCUGACCUCAGGUGAUCCACCAGCCUCAGCCUCCCAAAGUGCUGGGAUUACAGGCAUGAACCACCGUGCCUGGCCAUUUUAAUGAUUUUAGGACUGACCAAACUAUCUGUUUCAUCCUGGUUGGGUUUUGGAAGUUUUUUUUUAUUUUUUAGGAAUUGUUUCAUUUCUUCUAAGUUAUCAAAUUUAUGAGCAUCAAUGUAUUUACAGUAUUUCCUUAUUAUCUUUUUAAAGGCUACAAGAUCUAUAUUGGCAUUCCCUGUUUCUUUGUGGUACUAGUGAUUUGUAUCUUCUUUUUGUUUUCCAUCUUGCUAGAGGCUUAUCAAUUUUAUUUAUUUUUUAAUAAAUCAGCUUUUUUGCAGUUUUUCUAGUUUUUCUGUUUUUGAUUUUAUUUAUAUCUGCCCUGAAUUUUACUGUUUCUUUCCUUAUGCUAGUUUUGAAUUUAUGUUGCUCUUGUUUUUCUAGUUUCUAGAGGUACUAACUUAAAUUGCUAAUUUGAGACCUUUCAUCUUUUCUAGUUAAGCAUUUAGUGCUAUAAAUUUUCCUCUCAGCAUUACUUUUGCUGCAUCCCACAUAUUUUGAUAUCUUGUAUUUUUACUUUUAUUUGGUUUUAUGUAGUUUUUAAAUUUCCCUUUAAACUUCUUCUUUGAGCCAUAGAUUAUUUAGAAGUAUGUUGUUUACUUUCCACAUGUUUAGAGAUUUUCUGCCUUUAUGCUAUUGAUUUGUAGGCUUAUUCCAUUUUUGUCAGAGAACAUACUCUAUAAUUAUAAUUCUUUUAAAUUUGCUGAGGUUUCUUUCAUGGUCCAGGAUAUGUCUAUGUUGGUAUAUACUUCUUGGGUUCUUGAAACUAAUUAUAUUCUGUGUUGUUGGUUGGAGUAUUUUAUACAUGCCUAUUAGAUACCGUUGUUUAAUGGUGUUGUUCAGAUCCUCUAAAUCCUCACUGAUUUUCUACCUAGUAGUUCAAUUGAUUGUUGAGAUUGGGUUGUUUAUGCCCCUGACUGUAAUUGUGGACUUGUCUAUUUCUCCUUUCAGUUUUAUUAGCUUUGGCUUUACAUAUUUAAGUCUCUGUUGCUUGGUGCCUGCACAUUUAAUAUUGUUUUGUCUUCCUAGUGGAUUGAUCCUUUUAUUCUUAUGUAAUAUCCCUCUUUGACUCUAGUAAAUUUCAUGGUUCUGAAGUCCACUGUAUCUGAUAUUCAUUUAGCCACUUCUAUUUUUUAAACUAAAAUUUGCAUAAUAUAUCUUAUUAUAUCGCUUACUUUCAGCCACCUAAAUUGUUGAAUUUGAAAUGAGUUUAUCAUAAACAACAUAUAUACCCUGCCAAUCUGUCUUUUGAUUGUUAUAUUUAAUAAUUUAAGAUUGUCAAGAUGACAGGUGUUGAGAUGGUCAGUUAGGACAAUAAGCCAAAUGAAAUUAAUAGUCAAGACUUUGUUCACUUACUAGGAUAGUGAAGUCCAGAGACAAAGAAAAAAAAAUGUGUUGGCUUUCCAGUGUUCCAUUUUCCCACAUAGGACAGCAUCAGGUGAAGGUCAGGAGGAUCAGUGAAGACAGGAAGAUUAUCUCACUAACAAGGAGCCCUGAACAAGAAGCUACUGCCAUUUUAGAAUUUGUUUUUCCAUUUCUGCUAAAAAUGCCAUUCGGAUUUUGAUAAAGAUUUUAUUGAAUGUUUAGAUCAGUUUGAAGAGUGUUGUCAUUUAAAAAAUAUUAGGUCUUCUAAUCCAUGAACAUAGUAUAUGUCUACAUUUAUUUAUACAUUUUCAUGUUUUCCAGCAAUGUUUUGUAGUUUUCAGUGUACAAGUCUUGCAUUUCUUUUGUUAAAUUUAUAUCUAAUUAUUUUAUUAUUUUCAAUAGUAUUAUAAAGAGAUUUGGUUUUUAAUUUCAUGUUCAGAUUAUUCAUUGCUGGUAUAUAGGUAUACAAAUAUUUUUGUAUAUUUAUAUUGUAUCUUACAACUUUGCUGAGCUUGUUUAUUAGCUCUAAUAGUUUUUUGUGUAUUCCUUAGUAUCGUCUAUAUGCAAGAUCAUGUCAUAUGCAUAUAGAAAUGGUUUUACCUCUCCCUUUUAAAUCUGGAUGCCUUUUAGCUUCUUUUAUUACCUUAUUGCAUUGGCCAGAGCCUCCAGUACAAUGCUGAAUAGAAAUAGUAAUAAUGGGCAUUCUUGUCUAGUUCCUGAUGUUAGGAACAAAGCAUUCAAUCUUUUUUAUUUACUUAUUUAUUUAUUUAUUUAUUUUUGACACAGGUUCUCACUCUGUCACCCAGGCUGGAGUGCAAUGGUGCAAUAUUGGCUCACUGCAGUCUCUGCCUCCUGGACUUAAAUGACCCUCCCACCUCAGCCUCCCAAGUAGCUGGGACUGCAGGCUACAGGGCAAGGCUUAACCACUGCUGACCUAAGUCUUGGAGGGAUACCCCAUGGUCACCCAGAUCAUGAGAAGUCAGGCCACCACCACUGAGCCAUGUGGUUAUCCCAUCCAGCCUGCCACCACUGGACUGUAUGUACCGCAGUUCUCCUAUCCAGCCCACCACCACUGGACUCUCUCUCCUGUAUGUAAGCCCCAAAUAAAACCUCAUGUCUCA